GUAUCACCUUGCCCUGUUAUAAAUUAAAAAGGAAACGGUGGGGGGAUGGGUCCCAUCCACACCCAGACUGAGACCCCAAGCCUUCCUGCCCUCCUGUAUGUUGAAGAGCCCAAAUCUCAGCUCCUUGGCGCAGGCACUGAGGGAUUAUGGAGGGGUGGAACUCACCGGUGGGUUCUAUAGCUUCAGGGAGGUGACCCUGGGGAUAUGGAAGAGCUGUGUCUCUUCGGAGCUGGUGGAGCUGUGAUAUCACAGAACUAAAGUGAGUCCCUAGCACAGACCCCCAACCCCGACACAGACAACCAGAGCGCCGAUAGGCCUGCCUCAGGAAUUCUCCAGAGGGUGAGAAGUCCCAAGCUAUUCCCCAAGUGUCUGUGUCACAGCAAGAAAGACAUGUGUCAGGUUUAUGUGGGAACUUUCAGUCCCCAACACUCCUUAGAGCUGGGCUCGAAGCUCUCUCUGCCUGGGAGGUUUCAGACAGGGUGUAGCCCAAUGGCUGUAAAGAAUUCCUGGACACCUGAUGCCCACUGUGAUUCAGGCGGCCCCUCUCUCACCUGAGCCGUUUCCGGAUGGGACGGAAGUACUUGGAGGUCUUGACCGCGAAGAUGAUGCUGGGGAUGAGGAAGAAGGUGCACCAGCCCAGGCAGAACCAGAAGGCAUUCUGGACAGGAGCCAUGAGAUACUGCAUACAUGUGAUGUACAGAUACAUGCAGGCGAAACACCCAUCUGUGUGGGGAUCACACCACCGUUCUAAGAGCAGCGUGUUCAGGACCACGAACAGCGACACAUGCCCUUGCCGCAGGGACCUGGGGAAGUGCCUGUGGGUCCUUAACCAGGGAGGGGGUGGGGAGCCCCAAGAGUGGAGAAAGCUGGAGAGAUACACAACACACCCAGAAUGACCCGUUCAUGGGGUGCCACAUGCUGCUGGGGCACCAGAUGCCCCCUCACUGACCUGUACAAGGAAGUCUCUGUAGUGGAUUUUCUCCAGCCCGCUACUCUGCAAAGCCUCCAGGUUCUGGCGGGCAGCAGGAUUCAACAGGUCUAGAUCCUUCAGAUCUACUUUGAAGCUUUGAAGCUCCUGCUGAAGCUUAUGGGUAUACUGGGGGAGAGGACAGGAUGAGGUGCAUCGUUGAGCUUGGUUGCUUGGCUUAAGGGGCAUUUCCUGGUCUCCAGGGCUCCUACUCUGGGUACAAUUUCACUGGCUCCCAAAAGACCUCUACUCAGAAUCCCAGCCUGAUUCUGGGGACCAUGUGGUAACUGGGCUGUGGCACAGACUUUCUCUGGACAGCUGAUACAGAACAGCUUUCUGGAACUUCUUUAUCACAUCCUCUGUAGAAAGUUCUUCACAGUACCUAAUACUCUAAAAAUCACUUAUUUUUGGACUUGUUAAUCCAAGCUCAUCAGCUCAGUAGUAUCAGAGACUUUGACUAGUCUACUCUGAGACACUCUCAUCUGCAGGAGAGUCUGUCAUCUGAGGUGAGAUACAAGUUUGUAGAUUUGUGAGCGAGUGAGCGAGAGAGUGAAUAAACCCAUCGCAUUUCCAAGA